UCCCAGAGCAAAUCCAAAGUGAGAAAUCUGAGUCAACUAUCGCCGUAGUCGUUGGCUGCGUGGUUGGUGCUGUUGUCGUUGUGGCGGGAGUGUUAACGGCGCUGUUCUUCCUAAAGAGGAGAGGAAAAGUUGGCGGAUGCAGAUGCUCAUACGACCCCGUGAACACGAACUCUGUGUGACUGACCUCGGCACACCACUGCCGUCUGUCAGUUCCCGAAGUUACCUGGCGGAGACGCUUCGGUGACACCUCGGCCUGGCAUGUUCCACUCCAUCUGAGCCAACACUACAAGACCCAUUGUAUCUGCUGCCUAAUGAACAAUGUUUAUGGAUAAUGAAGUUUUGAGGAAGACAAAAAAAAAAACAUAAGAAAUAGAUAUGCCAGACACUCACGGGUGCGGAAACCAAAUAUUCUUUGUAGUUGUGUUUUGCAACUCUCUGCAUAGUGCAGGACUCGUUUCUCUACAGACACAGGGUAGAACGUGAACUGAGUACAGUUUCAAUACUUUUCGAUAUUGUACUGUAACUCAGUACAGAUGAUUUUGUUCAGCCUCCGAAAAAAAGAUUUUUUCUUAUUUCAAUAAAACUGCUCUUAAAAUGUUUAUUUCAUAAAUAAUUUUGUUUACUCACAUGUAUGCAUACUGAAAAGUGAUUUCAAUAUUUUAAAAUCACUAUCUAAUAAUAUUUUCUUAAUGAGUAAAACUGUUACAUUUAGCAAUUGUGAUUACUGUACAGUAUAUAAGUUAUAUACUAUAUAAAUAGAUAUCUAUGUAUACACAGAUAUUAUUUUUACAAUGAAUAAAUACACUAUUUUGGGGCCAGUAUGCUUCCAUCACUUCCCUAAGGCCAACAAAUUUUUAAGCUAAUGAUGCAAUUAAAUUUUUCAUUUUUUUUUUCAUCAUCGUUGUUACACACAAAACAUACAAUAAGCAUGAAUAAGGAAUUCUUUUUAUUAUGUCUACAGAAGAAAAGAAAGGAAUAAACAUUAAUUCCAAAGAACUGAUUAAAAAAUUUAAGAUUUUUAAUGAAAAGUCACAUCAAAAUCUGAAACAAAUUGUUGUAUUGUUAACAAGGCUUUGCCGCUUACUUCAUUAGAAAGUUUCAUUGCACAAUUAAUCUAAUAUUUUAGCUGUGUCAAUGUGUGUGCUUCCACUAAAAUAUUUUAUUUUAUAAAAUGUGAUAUCAAUAUAAUAACUGUGAUCUUUUCUACGUUUAAUGUACACAAAGGAUGUGUGUGUGCUUUUAUUGCCAGACAUUGCCAGAAAUAAAACUUUGCUCUUGUC